UCCCGGGUUCAGAUCCCGGACGAGCCCCCA
rnacentral:ncRNA from 4 species